GCAACUUUAAGUAAUGAGGUUGCUCUUUAAAAACAGUACACGAUAACAAGUUUGCUCCGCAAACCAAUCGGAAAAGAGUGGAACUUUCUCCUCUUCCCCUUUUUAUAACCUCGGUUUUUCUUAGUUGUUAAACCCGGGAAAAAUGAGCCAAUAAGGUCGUACCGAGUACUGCAAAGUAUCUGCAGAGUGGGGUCGUGAAAUUUUUGGAAAGGUGACAGGUAAGAGCUUAUGUGAAAGUAAAUAAACAAGUGAACAUUAGAAGAGUGAUAAGUUUCGAAAGGAAACGAUAGCGGUAGAUCAAGGAAGAAAUGUUCACUCGAGAGUACGUUGUGCUCUUAAGACAUAUGCACACAAAAAAGGAUGAAAGGGCUUAAAAUCUGCGAUGAGGCACCCGACAACUCAUUGAGACGAACACAGAAGAUACGAAGGCGCUAAAAUUAACCAGGAGAAGUUGCCCACAUCCUCCAGGGGGACGGUUCUAAACGCUCAAGGACUAUCCACUCCUUGUAGCCCUCUCAUAGCAAGACACCACAACUUAUAAACGCGAGAGACUGAGAGGAAACAAACCUUCAUCCAACUCCCUCCAAAGCUGGGGCCAACAGUGAGUUGAACCUGAUGUAUUCAACGAUGGAAACAGUACUCGAGCAUUUUCUGAGACCCUAAGCUUCUCAGACCGGCGAUUUUUAGGUUGACACGGAUGUUAAGUCAAUAAAUGUUGGUACCCAAGCAUUUUCUGGAACCCUACGCCUUCCAGACCGGCAAUUUUUAGGAAGAGAGUUCUGUUAUUUUUAUAUCG